rnacentral:tRNA from 1 species
GUGAGGUCGGUGGUUCAAGUCCACUCAGGCCUACCAAAUUUGCACGGCAAAUUUGAAGAGGUUUUAACUACAUGUUA